rnacentral:rRNA from 1 species
UGGGGAAUAUUGGGCAAUGGGCGCAAGCCUGACCCAGCAACGCCGCGUGAGGGAAGAAGGCUUUCGGGUUGUAAACCUCUGUCCUUGGUGACGAAAAAAAUGACGGUAGCCAAGGAGGAAGCCCCGGCUAACUACGUGCCAGCAGCCGCGGUAAUACGUAGGGGGCGAGCGUUGUCCGGAAUUACUGGGCGUAAAGGGUGCGUAGGUGGCCUUUUAAGUUGGAUGUGAAAUACCCGGGCUUAACCUGGGGGGUGCAUCUAAUACUGGAAGGCUAGAGUGCAGGAGAGGAAAGCGGAAUUCCUAGUGUAGCGGUGAAAUGCGUAGAUAUUAGGAGGAACACCAGUGGCGAAGGCGGCUUUCUGGACUGUAACUGACACUGAGGCACGAAAGCGUGGGGAGCAAACAGG